rnacentral:RNase_P_RNA from 1 species
GAAGCCAACCAGACAGUCGCCGCAUCCUUUGGUGGAUGGGGAGGAAAGUCCGGGCUCCAUAGGGCAGGAUGCCGGUUAACGGCCGGACGCCGCGAGGCGAUGGAAAGUGGAACAGAGAGCUGAACCGCCGAUGGCCGGACUUGUCGCCCGCAAGGGCGACAAAGUCUUUAUCCAAGCAGGGUGUAACCCGGCUCGGAGAAUCCAAGCAGGGUGAAAACCCUGACGGACGGCACAGGCAAGGGUGAAAAGGUGUUCGGGCGCGGCGUAAGCCAAGCCCGGAGGUUGGGUCGAAAGAUCCGGCUCGGUAAGAGCGCACCGCGGACGUGGCAACACGGACGGCAGGCUAAACCCCAUCCGGAGCAAGGCCAAAUAGGGGUGCAUUGGCGUGGCCCGCGCUGCACCCGGGUAGGCUGCUUGAGCCUGUCGGCAACGGCAGGCCUAGAGGAAUGACUGUCCACGACAAAACCCGGCUUAUCGGUUGACUUCCCCC